CAGCACUUUGAAAAUUCUUUCAAUGGAUUUUUUUUUCCUUGAAAGAUCGUACUGGGGAAAAUGAUACUUCUAUUAGUUACAUAUUCUCCAAUAGCACACUGGCACCCCCCUCGUUCUGAGAUCGCUCCCUAGGCAGGCUCAGGCGGGCGCGGAGCUGCGCGGAGUGACAAAGCCGCCGCGGCCGCCGCUGGGGGUGGGAGCCGCGCUCGCCCGCCCCUCGACUCGGGAGAGCGUAAAAGUUUGUCUCAGCUCCAGCAUCCCGAUCCUCAACACGCCCUCAGUACAGAGGCAGGCAGUCGAGGGCAGAGGAAGCAGCAGAGGAGAGGGAGCCCGGGAGAGGAGAGAGGCCGUGGAGAGGGACGGAGCCGGAGGAAGAGGAGGCGGAGGCGAGCGCCCGGGAACCCGAGGCCCCCCGGACGCCCUCGGACCCCGCACCGUGCGCCCUGGGCAGCCGAAGCCACGCCGGGCCGAGUCCUUCCCACCCAGGCAAGGAUGGAGAAACGGAAAUACCACCACCCUCCAGCCAAACCUGGGAGGACUGAUUGCAGGGGAGCUGGUGCUCCAGAUGUUGCACUAGAGGCGCUGCGAGUGUGAGCAGGUGGCAGUGGGCAACAUCAUGGGUUGUAGCAGAUGUUCUCAACAUUUCUUUUGAAACUUCUUUAUAUUGCCUUGCAAGAGGAGCCCUAGAGCCUCAUCCCUGGGGUAGCUACUAUGCUCUGAUGUAAGCUGUUGUCCACCAGGGAGCUUUGGCAAGAGAAUUGGCCAGAUCACCAACUUCAUCUCCACUGUAGAAAAACAACUUGAAGCUCAUCUCUGUUGAAGAUACACUGUCUGUAGGACAGGGGUAGACUGAAUACCUGCUUCACUGAAUACCUGCUUCACAGCACCUUUCACAUUUUCUUGUUGGAAAGACAACCGUUGGAGAAUCAUCUUGUUACCAUCAGCAAAAAUGCAAACAAAUCAAGACAUUAAGAAUGCCACAGUGGCCAGCAGUUAAUGAUGCCAGUGUUACACAAGCUUCAGCAAAGUUUUCAAGACAGUGUGCCUCACUAGCCAGGAAUCAGGGAAGAUUGAACCUAUCCUUUUUGUCUCAGCUGUUCCUCAAAUCAGUGCAGCCCCUCCAAAUUAAUGUGAAUUGAAACAUGCAUUGCCUUUUCAACUUAAUUGAGUACUUACUAUGGGUGAAUCACUGCACAAAAUAGGGGAGGGAAAAUGAGGGAGACAAGUAAGAUGUGUUUCCUGCCUUCAAUGGAUUUACAAUUAGUUUCAGGGCACUUUUUUUUCCCUGCUGCUCUUAAUUAAGUGUGUUCUAAGAUAGAAAACAAAUGAAUGGAAAAGUGUAUUCUGUAAGUAUUUUAAAUCCCUUUAAUAAAAAACAAAACAAAACAGUCUAAUGUGGGCAACUAAGGACAUCUUAAUUCCAUUUGUUUGGACUUUUGAUAGGUAGGAUUUAUUUUAUUCAUUCUGUAAAUAUUUGGUAGACUUUAGAGAUAUUAACACAUUAGAUUUGGAAUUAAUUGAAUUCAAUUCUCCCCCCACUCCCGAGCUAUAGAUUAUCUGUUGAAAAAUAUAUUGUGUUUGUACAUUUCUUGCAGAGUGGGUAGGUGAAUUACAUAUGUUGUCUCUGUAGGCCUCUACCUUCUGUGCCUUAGGAGCCUGACAUCAUGUGAGCUAUUAGCUUCGGGAAAGGGGGAGAUUUGUAUCAAACUUGGGAAUGUUGUUCAUGGACCCAGCAUAGGGUUGGGAUAGGGGCAAAAGAGACCUGGGCAAUGACUCUGUAGGAAACUUUGGCUAUUUUGGUAUUCAUGUGUUGUCCUCUAUACUACAAAAUUAUGGUUUUUUUUUUUUGAAGACUUAUUUCUGAUCUGGGAAUAAGUCAUGAUUCUUCCAGUGUUAAGAUGCUAAUAUGACUGUAGACAUUAGACAUUUUAUGUGGUGUAUGUAACACAUUUUUGUAUGUAUGAAGCAACAAUAGACAUGUCUUUGUCUUGAGUGGUGUCCAUCUGAAUGGAAAAUGUGCCAGCUUUUUUUUUUUAAACAUCAACAGGCUUCUUAAUUAAGCUGCCACUAUAUACUGCCAAUAGCACUGUGUGGCAUUUGAGAAAUGAAUUGUGAAGUGCCGUUUCCCUCUUAUUGA